AGGACGAACGCUGGCGGCGUGCUUAACACAUGCAAGUCGAGCGGUAAGGCCUUUCGGGGUACACGAGCGGCGAACGGGUGAGUAACACGUGGGUGAUCUGCCCCGCACUUCGGGAUAAGCCUGGGAAACUGGGUCUAAUACCGGAUAUGACCUCCUAUCGCAUGGUGGGUGGUGGAAAGAUUUAUCGGUGCAGGAUGGGCCCGCGGCCUAUCAGCUUGUUGGUGGGGUAAUGGCCUACCAAGGCGACGACGGGUAGCCGACCUGAGAGGGUGACCGGCCACACUGGGACUGAGACACGGCCCAGACUCCUACGGGAGGCAGCAGUGGGGAAUAUUGCACAAUGGGCGACAGCCUGAUGCAGCGACGCCGCGUGAGGAUGACGGCCUUCGGGUUGUUAAACCGUCUUUCGAGUCAGGGACGAAGCGCGAAGUGACGGUACCUGCAGAAGAAGCACGGCUAACUCGUGCCAGCAGCCGC
rnacentral:rRNA from 1 species